CCCGCACCUCAGAUCUCCAGAUUUCCGCAUUAUUCCGCAUUUUUUCCUCAUUUUAAUAUGGAAAAAAUGUGGAAAAAAAUACGGAGAAAAUUAACAAUACGGAAAAGCAGAAAAUAUACGGAAAUAAUCCGGAAAAUAAACGGAAAUAAUACGGAGAAUUGGACUUAGUCUGUGUUUCAUCUGGAAAAAUAUUGAACUCUUAACUUAGAAUAUUUUUCAUCUGGAAAAAAUACGGAGCUCUGGACUUAGAAUUUUUUCAUCAAGAACAAGAUGUGUUUGUGAGACACAGUAGCACCUGGCGGCAACAUUAAGUUCUAAAAAGCAAUUUUUAGCAAAUGGGUCUCAGUCAAGGUCACACAAUCAUUGUUCUUGGUGUCAUUUGAAAGCACUUUAUUAGUGUAGUAUGCAUACCAAAUAUUAAGUCUCUAUCAUCUAUGGUUCAAAAGUUAUGGUGAAAAUUCGAAAAAAGCUAUAUUUACCAUAUAGGUCACAGUCAAGGUCACAAGGUCAUUGACCUUGGUGUCAGUUGAAGGUGCCUAAUUAGUGGAGUAUGCAUACCAAAUAUGAAGUCUCUAUCUCUCACGGUUUAAAAGUUAUGGUGAAAGUUCGAAAAAGCUAUUUUUAGCAUAUAGGUCACAGUCAAGGUCACAAGGUCAUUGACCUUGGUGUCAGCUGAAAGUGUUUUUGUAGUGGAGUAUCCAUACCAAAUAUGAAGUCUCUAAGUCUCACGGUUCAAAAGUUAUGGCGAAGGUUAAAGUUGACAACAGACAAACAAACAGACAGACAUACAGCUAAACAGACAGACAGGACAAAAACAAUAUGCGCCCCAAAAAAAUUUGGGUGCAUAAAAACUGUCUUGGAGUUAACAGCAGUUCUCUGUUUCUCCUGAAUGUUAUGUACAAUUUGAUCGGGAUCGGAAGAAUGUUUCAAAAAGUCGGGCUCAGUGAUCAAUUAAUUUUAACAACAGACCGCCAAAAUUUAACCUUGGCCUCCAUGUUGCAACGUCUGCUCUGUCUAAAGGAAGAAGUUUGUUGACCAGACAGCCUGAGAUCGUAUUGCUGUAUCAACCAAAAGAUGCAGAUACACGUAUUUCAUAUGCGCGUCUGUGCAUGAGGAGGAGAUUUCUGAAAAAGAGUAAGUGCUUAUUCAACUUACUGCGAUUUUAACGGGCUUAAAGCUUGGUCCAUGGAUGGUUAUGUUUGAGGAUUUGCCAAUUCGACCGCAAGUGCUGCUGCAAGAAAUUAAACAUGCAGAGACCUUACAAAUUACAAAGAAGUCUGAAGAAAAUUUUUAUUGGACAGAUGGGUGUAAAGCACAGACCUGAGAUAUAAAUUGAAUUGUGAGAAAUAUGAAUCAGGGAUGCAGAUAGAAAAUGGCAAAUGUGAUCCAGAUUGAUAAAAAAUGUCUAAAAUUUUUUCUUGUUUUGUAAAUAUUCAAUGCUAUGUCAAUUGUUAUUUUUUCCCCAAUACCUAAUAGUGUUGAACAUUUCACUCCCACUUUUGCUUAAAUAGAAUGAAUAAAUUUCCAUUU